rnacentral:rRNA from 1 species
GUCCACGCCGUAAACGAUGGAUACUAGCUGUUGGGAGCAAUUUCAGUGGCUAAGCGAAAGUGAUAAGUAUCCCACCUGGGGAGUACGGGCGCAAGCCUGAAACUCAAAGGAAUUGACGGGGCCCGCACAAGCGGUGGAGCAUGUGGUUUAAUUCGAUGAUACGCGAGGAACCUUACCAAGGCUUAAAUGUAGUUUGACCGAUUUGGAAACAGAUCUUUCGCAAGACAAAUUACAAGGUGCUGCAUGGUUGUCGU